rnacentral:rRNA from 1 species
CCUACGGGAGGCAGCAGUGAGGAAUAUUGGUCAAUGGACGAGAGUCUGAACCAGCCAAGUAGCGUGAAGGAUGACUGCCCUAUGGGUUGUAAACUUCUUUUAUAAAGGAAUAAAACGAGGCACGUGUGCCUUUUUGCAUGUACUUUAUGAAUAAGGAUCGGCUAACUCCGUUCCGGCAGCAGCGGUAAGAAGGAGGACGCGAGCGUUAUCCGGAUUGAUUGGGUUUAAAGGGAGCGUAGAGGGGUGGUUAAGUCAGUUGUGAAAGUUUGCGGCUCAACCGUAAAAUUGCAAUUGAUACUGGCAGUCUUGAGUGCAGUGGAGGUAGGCGGAAUUCGUGGUGUAGCGGUGAAAUGCUUAGAUAUCACGAAGAACCCCGAUUGCGAAGGCAGCUUACUAAACUGUGACUGACAUUGAUGCGCGAAAGUGUGGGUAUCAAACAGGAUUAGAUACCCCAGUAGUC